rnacentral:lncRNA from 1 species
UAAUCUCAUCUACUAUUUCAUAAAUUUCAGUUAGAAUCUUGUUAUUGCCCAGAAUUUCUGUCUCCGGGACUUUUAUCCUAACUAGCAACUUAUCCAUCAACUCACACAUGUCUUUCUCUAGGUUCUUAAUUUAGUCCAUCAACUUGACCAAAUAUGCUGCAACAUUGUCGGGGAUAUCCUCUUCAACAGCAACCCCCUUCCCACUUUCGACUCUUGAACGUUUGGAUGCCAUUAGAAUUUUGAGAUUUUCC